CGAAGAUCCGAAUCCAGAGCGUAGUGCUCUACUUCUCUAAUUCUAUCUAAUCAAUCCUCUAAACUUGAAGGAUUAGGGAGUAGCUAAUUCUAAUUCUCUGUGGGAGAGAAGUCUAAACCCUAACUUUGAUGGCUUUCUCUGAUAAUGAUUUCUCCUCUCUCCCCCUAGGGUGGAGAGGCCUUGAUUAUAUAGUCCUUUCAAGUGAAUUUGGGCCGUCGGAUCAAACUGACAUUGAUUGCAUGGUUUAGAUUCAUCCUCAAAGGUGGUGGAGCACGAUCCAGGAGAUUCGUCCUGAUUGGCCCCUAUGCCAGGGCGGGCGCCCAAGAGGGGAGGGCGGGCGCCCUACCCCCGAGCCCGUCCGGUCUCCCGUUCGUUCCCGUGGCUCUGGACUCUUCUAGAUUAUGGAAAAUUGCGUGGCACAUAAUUAUCUCGUUGUAAACAUGACAUGUGGGCCUUCUCUCCAUAUUUUCUGAUAACCCCCUGCAGAAAUAGAUAAACACCAAAGCUCGUGGAAUUCUGUCAGAUAAAACCCUAAUUCUAGAUGUUUGGUGCAUAUGGAUCCUUUUCUAUGUUUAGUUGAUGGUUAAAUUUAGUACUUAAGGACCGUCAACAAACUCCCCCAAGCUUACCCUUUGCUCGUCCCUGAGCAAACAGCUAAACUCAGAUGGAUUAGGAGUUGCUUCAAUGUUUUCUUUCUUGACAGGCACACAUGCUUUCACAUAAAAAUUCUUCCAGAUAAGAGUGAAGUGUCAUGGAGCUUAGUACCUGCACUUAAGUCUUAAGAAAUUGAAAGACAAAAUAGUUAAGUCAAACACUAUUCCUCAUGUCUAUACUUCACCUUUGUUCCGGAGUUUUGCAUAAGUUUUCAAAAUAAAACUCAGAGUUCCCAGCAAUGAUUCUCUCAAGUCUCUCUAUAUGUGGUAUUUGUGGAUCCUUACCAAGAUGUCACUUACCUAUAGCUAAUGGAAUAUUUAAGUGGAGCUUAUAGAAGUGAAAAAUAGCUCAUACAUAUGUUGUCCAAUCGAGCCAUGGAUCCAAAGGAACUUAGCAUAUAAUUAAAUCAAGAUGUGCAUGUGUGGUGAAGUAAAUGAUAGUAGUGGUGGAAAUAUAAGUAAUGAUAAAACUUACUUCUCAUUGCUCCUCAUAUUGCUAUCUCUCCUCUUCUUUGAUCUUUGCUUUGGGAGACCAUGGGCUAUCUUUUUCUUUUCUCUUUUUUUUUUCCAGGUGGGUAGUAGAUACCCCUAAUUCUACUGUCAGAAACUUGUCCAUUUUUUUCCGCUCAAGUGGGCACCUUUGUACCCCUAAUUCUACUACGGACACUUGUCCAUUUUUACCGCUCGUUUCACUCUUUUUCUUUCUUUUUCGAGGUUCCGGGCACUUGCCCCUUUUUAUUUCCUCGCAUAUUUUUGCAUAACCCAUGCCUCUUUUGCAUUGAAUCUUUUUAGAGAAAGAGAAUAAAAACACUUGGGACAGUGAGUGAUAAUAUUAUUUUUAGCAAUUUUAAUAAAUUGUGGUGAAUGGUGUAGUGUGCAUGUGAAUAUCUUAAUUUAACCACAUGAAAAGCCCCUAAGGGUCUACAUAGCUCGAUCAAACUCAAUGUGAAUAUAAUAAAAGAUGUUAUAGCAAGUAUGGCUGUGGUAGGAAAUUUGUCAUGCUAGGAACUCAUCAUGUGAUUUGCAUGUUUUCCAAAAUAAAUCCCCAGAAUUCAGUGUAGUAGGAACAAGAUAAACAGCAGCUAAAACUUUAUAUCAUGUCCUUCUCUUACCUAGACUUUAGUUUUAGGUUCAUGCUUCCCAUAGAUAUUAAAUUUUAGUUUUUAGUAAUUCCUAGAAGAACUCUAAUAUAAAAGCUAGGUACUCGAAAGUAAGUAAACAGAGCAACUGUUCAUCAUUUCCAUCAAGCAUCUUUUUGGUCUUUUUAUUUUUCUAGAGAUUAACACUUGGCAGAUAAAUAAGCAUACUUAUCUACACACUCUUUUUAUUUUGUUUUCAUAUUUAUAGAAUGCAGUAAAUUAAAGCA
rnacentral:lncRNA from 1 species